rnacentral:rRNA from 1 species
UACGGAAGGCAGCAGUGGGGAAUAUUGCACAAUGGGCGCAAGCCUGAUGCAGCCAUGCCGCGUGUAUGAAAAAGGCCUUCGGGUUGUAAAGUACUUUCAGUCGUGAGGAAGGUGUUAAGGUUAAUAACCUUAGCAAUUGACGUUAGCGACAGAAGAAGCACCGGCUAACUCCGUGCCAGCAGCCGCGGUAAUACGGAGGGUGCGAGCGUUAAUCGGAAUUACUGGGCGUAAAGGGCACGCAGGCGGUUAAUUAAGUUGGAUGUGAAAUCCCCGGGCUUAACCUGGGAAUGGCAUUCAAGACUGGUUAGCUAGAGUCUUGUAGAGGGGGUAGAAUUCCAUGUGUAGCGGUGAAAUGCGUAGAGAUGUGGAGGAAUACCGGUGGCGAAGGCGGCCCCUGGCAAAGGACUGACGCUCAUGUGCGAAAGCGUGGGGAGCGAAACAGGGAUUAGAUACC